rnacentral:rRNA from 1 species
UUCCGGUUGAUCCUGCCAGACCUGACUGCUAUCGGAUUGAUACUAAGCCGUGCGAGUCUUUGUAGUAAUACAAGGCAGACGGCUCAGUAACACGUAGUCAACCUACCCUAUGGACGAGAAUAAUCUCGGGAAACUGAGCAUAAUUCUUGAUAGAUCAUAAUGCCUGGAAUGGUUUAUGGUUAAAAUGAUUCGUCGCCAUAGGAUGGGACUGCGGCCUAUCAGCUUGUUGGUGAGGUAAUGGCCCACCAAGGCGAUUACAGGUACGGGCUCUGAGAGGAGAAGCCCGGAGAUGGGUACUGAGACACGGACCCAGGCCCUAUGGGGCGCAGCAGGCGAGAAAACUUUGCAAUGUGCGAAAGCACGACAAGGUUAAUCCGAGUGAUUUCUGCUAAAGAAACCUUUUGCCAGUCGUAAAACCGCUGGUGAAUAAGGGGUGGGCAAGUUCUGGUGCCAGCAGCCGCGGUA